AUUGAACGCUGGCGGCAGGCUUAACACAUGCAAGUCGAGCGGGGUGAUGGUGCUUGCACUAUCACUUAGCGGCGGACGGGUGAGUAAUGCUUAGGAAUCUGCCUAUUAGUGGGGGACAACAUCUCGAAAGGGAUGCUAAUACCGCAUACGUCCUACGGGAGAAAGCAGGGGAUCACUUGUGACCUUGCGCUAAUAGAUGAGCCUAAGUCGGAUUAGCUAGUUGGUGGGGUAAAGGCCUACCAAGGCGACGAUCUGUAGCGGGUCUGGGAGGAUGAUCCGCCAGACUGGGACUUAGACACGGCCCAGACUCUUACGGGAGGCAGCAGUGGGGAAUAUUGGACAAUGGGGGGAACCCUGAUCCAGCCAUGCCGCGUGUGUGAAGAAGGCCUUAUGGUUGUAAAGCACUUUAAGCGAGGAGGAGGCUCUUUUGGUUAAUACCCAAGAUGAGUGGACGUUACUCGCAGAAUAAGCACCGGCUAACUCUGUGCCAGCCGCCGCGGUAA
rnacentral:rRNA from 1 species